AUGCACGAUGGCCGUAUGACCACGCUUUUUUUUGGAUGGUAAGAAACGUGUACUUUGUGUCUUAAGACACAUUAAACUAUGGCAACUGGCUGUAAUCUCGCGUGAUCUCGUGUCAGAGCGUGAAUCGGCGUAAUCUUAGUAAAAACAAACAUCGGCGAGCAUAGAGUUACAAUUUGUACAUUUAAAACUACAUUUAGAAUACAUGUUAGCUUCUAAAACAACAUUAGUUUAAUGUGAAAUAGUCUUAAGACACAAAGUACACGUUUCUUACCAUCAAACAAGAAAUAUCAUUAAAAUUGAUGGUCGGCGAAUUGUAAUAAGGAAAGAAGUUUAUCAGGGGUGGUAUAGUACGUCAUCAACAGGUGCGCGCAACACUUCCCGAUGCGGCUUUUUUAUGUCAAAACAUCUCGAUUCGAUCACAACAGAAACACCGGAGAUGUUCUGUUUAUCAGAAUUAAAUUAUGAAGCUAAACAUUUGGGGUUUAGCAGUAUGAUAUCCGUAGACAGAUGAACAUAAACUGCAUAUAGUAAUUCAUGCAUUUUUUGGGAAUAAAAUGGCACGUAAAAAAACAGAACUGUAGAAAGAACAAUACCCGCUUGUUGUGGAUGUUUGUGAAAAAAGUCAGAAAUGAAGACCACAAAAGUAGUCGUUGUUUGAGGCUCACUCACGGGCAAUAUGUGCAGACACCGUUUAAAACAGCUCACUGUUACGUGUGACCACUACCGUACAAUAAUUAGCCAUGGACAGCUUUUGUCGACGGAAUUUAAUGUGAUUUUGCGUGACUUCAAACAAUUGUGAUUUUUUAUUGAAACGUGUUUUGUUUUGUCUGUCUGUGGUGAAGUCACAGAGUCUUGUCAGUGCCUCUCCUUUCUUCUAAAUCACAUUUGACAGAUUUUGAUGAAAGGCAACAGCAGUAUUAAACUUUGUAUGAAAUGUAGUUGACACUAAUGCUCAUAACGGGUAAAACAUAACAAUGUAAAUAUUCUUGUUAUCUCUAUGUUUCGGUCAAUAAACGUUCACAGAUUAUACUA